rnacentral:lncRNA from 1 species
CUUGGCACAAUAUACCUGGAAGAUAACGUGAAUUCAGAGGUGUUUCCUGUUUUCUCUUUCAGGGAAAUCUUGAGGAGUUUGAUCCUUUCCACCCAGCAGCCAUUAACCAUCUUGUGGGAAGCUGUACAUUGACUCCCACCCUGUGCCACCCUGAGGUCCUCACCAGAGCUGAGGCAGGGUCGGUACCUUGUCCUCGAGUCUCCAGACCUGGGAAUGAAAUAAGCUUUUCUUCUUUACGAAGUCGCCUAAUCUCAGCUGUCUCACGAAAUCCACACAUGACAGACAUACGCGGGAAGAUACUACUACCUGAACUGCAAGUGAAAGCCGCUGGGUAAAGGGGGCACUGUCCGGCCUUCGCUGGGCAGAGUAUGGCGAAGGAAAUGGGGAAGGGGUCUGAGAGGUGAGCAAGGAGAGGUCUGACAGCCGGUCAGGAAACACUGCCUUUUAGAUCAUUUAUGUACCUCCCCUAAGAAGGUGUGAAUUAGCCACGUCAGAUAAGCUUGCAAUAGCCACACUGCCUUUAAAACAAAAGGGCUUUUACAUUCAGUUCUUUUUCCUUGCACUAUUUACAAGUUAAUUGGAAGACGUACCUUAGAGAGUACUAAAAAUUGUAUGUGUUACCCGAAAAGAAGC